CAUCUUGCAUAUGCCUGUCUCUAAAGUUAAUCCACAGAGGUCUAGGCAUUUCCGCUGGUACCCCGACAUAGCGAAUGACUUUGAGUGCAGGUUUGGGUGCUACCUGCAGAACCAUGGUCAUUCUAGAACUCAUCCAUGCCCCUGGGCAUCUGCAGCUCAGCUCUGAUGAUUCUAGGUCACCAGGAGUGCAUGUCCUGUGGCCCCGUUAAGUUGUUGUGCCGACCAGGGCAAUUGGGAAUUGGGUGAUGGGGAACCCAGAUUUGGUUCCGUAGAGGAAGCCUGGUAAUGGACUACCCCAACCAAGGGGUAGCAGACUUGUUACUCUCAACCCAAGGGUGGGGAGGCAGUGAUGAAAAACAGAACUGGUCUCUGGAGGUCUGGUGAUUGGAAUGAGUCCACUUAAAAUUCUUUAAGGUGGAUCCACUGCAUGGCAUAUCUAGUACCUGCAGCUGAGGUGGUGGUGGUGUAGUUGCUAAGUUGUGUCCAACUCUUGUGACCCCAUGGACUGUACCAGCCUCCUCUGUCUCUGGAAUUCUCCAGGCAAGAAUACUGGAGUGGAUUGCCAUUUCCUUCCCCUAGGGCAUCUUCCUGACCCAGGGAUUGACCCUGGGUCUUUUCCAUUGCAGGCAGAUUGUUUGCUGACUGAGCUAUGAGGGACGCAGCGGAGGUAGUCUCCAGCUUCAAUGGCAGGGUGUUGAGUUCGGUGCAGUUAAAAUACCACGUGAUCUGCUGUGCAGGUUUAUGGAUGGGGAUCCUCCGCCCCUAUCCCCACACCCUGCUUCUCCUCGUCCUCCUGGCUCCUAGCCUGGUUUCCCUGGGCUGAAGUGCGGGAGCUGCCUGCACACUGCCGCUGGAAAUCAUGGCAUGGGACCGUGAUUCUGUUUCGUGUUGGAACUUUGCGGAGGCCAAUUACAUGCGAUGGCUGGGAAGUUCCCACUGCACCGCUAGAGCUCAAAGUCUUAGAUUGAUGCAAAACGGACCAGAGUGAAAGCUGUUGCCAUGGAUUUUUUUUAUUAAUUAAGGAUGAAGGUGUAAAAGGGAGGUUCAAAGAGAUUCUGAUCCCAUAUUGUCUCUCCAUAAACGAUGUCGACUGCCAGCGUUAUUUCCGGUAAUGUGCGGGUAGCUUACCGGAAAGCAAAGUCCUUCCGAUGAUGGUAGCGGCAGUGUCUGGUUCUAGAACUGAAAUUUAAAGGCACAGUGGUGCAAUCUGUGCUUUAUUUGAUACAAUUCAGAUAAUUCGACUCCAUGGAAACCAGGAUUGACACUUUUGAUAGCUUUUUCCUGGGUGGUGGUGAGUUGCUUUUCUGUCUUGCUGGAGAGAUUUGUCUGGUUUAUAGAUAACAGGGAGACUAGUGUGCUAACCAUAGGUUACCCUGAGGGCUUGUUAGCCUUAACUUCGACAAAUAUUGUUUAGCCGCCCAAGAUUGAGCAGUCACAAGUCUGUGAUGCUCUCAAGUGGCCAGAACCGCACCACACUGCUCAGCAUGUGUGCUUCCAGUCAGACGGGUGCUGGAGAUUUCAUUAUUAAAUCCGUUAGAGAUAGGCUCUGGGUUGCAGUUGUUACUCAUUAAUGAGGAAUUCCCUGUAAGAGAGUAGAUCAGAAGUUUGCAUCAAGUCCCUGCCCCUUGUUCACACUGCCCAUUGCCCCUCAACAUUCCCUCCUUGGGGUUGGUAUUUGGCCUUGGUGGUUCGCUGAGAAGCCGUUCUAAAUGAAAGUCACUACCAGGUUUUUGUAGGUGGCCCUGCGGAAGGACCACAU
rfam:Ovis aries breed Texel chromosome 16, whole genome shotgun sequence.